UUUCCGCAAUGGGCGCAAGCCUGACGGAGCAAUACCGCGUGAGGGAUUGACAGCCUGUGGGUUGUAAACCUCUUUUGUCAAGGAGGAAGUUCUGACGUUACUUGACGAAUAAGCAUCGGCUAACUCCGUGCCAGCAGCCGCGGUAAUACGGAGGAUGCAAGUGUUAUCCGGAAUCACUGGGCGUAAAGAGUCUGUAGGUGGUUUAAAAAGUCUACUAUUAAAGAUUGAAGCUUAACUUCAGGAGUGUCGUAGAAACUUUUAAACUCGAGUAUGAUAGGGGUAGAGGGAAUUUCCAGUGGAGCGGUGAAAUGCGUAGAUAUUGGAAAGACCACCGAUGGCGAAGGCACUCUACUGGGCCAUUACUGACACUGAGAGACGAAAGCUAGGGUAGCAAAUGGGAUUAGAUACCCCUGUAGUC
rnacentral:rRNA from 1 species